rnacentral:rRNA from 1 species
UGGGGAAUAUUGCACAAUGGGCGCAAGCCUGAUGCAGCCAUGCCGCGUGUAUGAAGAAGGCCUUCGGGUUGUAAAGUACUUUCAGCGGGCAGGAAGGGAGUAAAGUUAAUACCUUUGCUCAUUGACGUUACCCGCAGAAGAAGCACCGGCUAACUCCGUUCCAGCAGCCGCGGUAAUACGGAGGGUGCAAGCGUUAAUCGGAAUUACUGGGCGUAAAGCGCACGCAGGCGGUUUGUUAAGUCAGAUGUGAAAUCCCCGGGCUCAACCUGGGAACUGCAUCUGAUACUGGCAAGCUUGAGUCUCGUAGAGGGGGGUAGAAUUCCAGGUGUAGCGGUGAAAUGCGUAGAGAUCUGGAGGAAUACCGGUGGCGAAGGCGGCCCCCUGGACGAAGACUGACGCUCAGGUGCGAAAGCGUGGGGAGCAAACAGG